rnacentral:rRNA from 1 species
UACGGGGGGGGCAAGCGUUGUUCGGAAUUACUGGGCGUAAAGGGCUCGUAGGCGGCCAAGUAAGUCAGACGUGAAAUCCCCAGGCUUAACCUGGGAACUGCGUCUGAUACUGGAUGGCUUGAAUUCGGGAGAGGGAUGCAGAAUUCCAGGUGUAGCGGUGAAAUGCGUAGAUAUCAAGCGGAACACCGGUGGCGAAGGCGGCCUUCUGGACAGUGACUGACGCUGAGACGCGAAAGCGUGGGGAGCAAACAGG